rnacentral:misc_RNA from 1 species
ACCACAUGACAAACAUCAGCUUUCGAUUAAAUUAAAAAUUAUUAAAAUCGGUACACCCAUAGAAAGUUAUGUGGUAUAAUAUAACGUAGGUCGACGAAAAAAGCGUCAAGUAAAAACGCAUUAUUAGAUAUAGCUCGAAAAGUAGUUUUUAGAUCUCAAAUAAAUUUAAAUGGGACCAAUUGGCACACACCACCUUUCGAUUAAAAGAAAAUUUGUCGAAAUCGCUCCACCCAGUCAAAAGUUCCGAUGUAACAUACAUAAAA